GCGUGUUUGGAGUUUGGAUAGUUUGGACUCUUCGUUGGCCUCGUUUUUAGGUGUUUGAUCCGUGACGUUUCGUCGAAAAAUCACAAGCGCGCAUGCCGUAGGUACCGUAGGUGUUUGCCUGGUUGCAAGAUCUUGCCGAUUUCAACGUUUUUCCCCCUCUUCGGUUGGCGUACGCUGAACUGGACCCUCGCAGCAAGAAUGACACGUGGGAGUAAGUUUUAUUUGUGACGCGAUUUGGUUUAUCUUCCGCAGAAACUGUUGAGCUCACAAUGCUGAUAUGUUGUUGUCGGCCACGUGUGUCGAUUGACACCGCGAUCGUGGAACACAUGGCUGAUCUGCCUCGAAUAACUGCAAGACGGCGCGUGCGUAGUGCCGUGGAGAACGAUCAGAAGUCCUGGACGACAAAGAAAAAACUUCAAAGCUGCCUCUGCGAGCCCUGCUCCUGGACAACAGCUGGGAGGCUCUGUGUUUAAACGCGUGCACCUUGGACGUCAUGCUCCCUCUGCGAGCCCUGCUGUUGGACGCCAGCUAGAACGCUCUGCGUUUGAAAGCGUGCACCCCAGAUGUCAUGCUCCUGCCUCUGCAAGCCCUUGUGCUGGACACCAUGGAAGGCCCUCCACUCGAAAGUGUGCACCUUAGACUACACGCUCAUCAAUACCAAGUUCUUUGUCCUACUCGGCAUGAUUGUAGUGCCAUAUAAUAGUGAGGCAAUAAAUCAUUUUUGC